AGGCUUAACACAUGCAAGUCGAGGGGCAGCAUGGUCUUAGCUUGCUAAGGCCGAUGGCGACCGGCGCACGGGUGAGUAACACGUAUCCAACCUGCCGUCUACUCUUGGACAGCCUUCUGAAAGGAAGAUUAAUACAAGAUGGCAUCAUGAGUCCGCAUGUUCACAUGAUUAAAGGUAUUCCGGUAGACGAUGGGGAUGCGUUCCAUUAGAUAGUAGGCGGGGUAACGGCCCACCUAGUCUUCGAUGGAUAGGGGUUCUGAGAGGAAGGUCCCCCACAUUGGAACUGAGACACGGUCCAAACUCCUACGGGAGGCAGCAGUGAGGAAUAUUGGUCAAUGGGCGAGAGCCUGAACCAGCCAAGUAGCGUGAAGGAUGACUGCCCUAUGGGUUGUAAACUUCUUUUAUAAAGGAAUAAAGUCGGGUAUGGAUACCCGUUUGCAUGUACUUUAUGAAUAAGGAUCGGCUAACUCCGUGCCAGCAGCCGCGGUAAUACGGAGGAUCCGAGCGUUAUCCGGAUUUAUUGGGUUUAAAGGGAGCGUAGAUGGAUGUUUAAGUCAGUUGUGAAAGUUUGCGGCUCAACCGUAAAAUUGCAGUUGACACUGGAUAUCUUGAGUGCAGUUGAGGCAGGCGGAAUUCGUGGUGUAGCGGUGAAAUGCUUAGAUAUCACGAAGAACUCCGAUUGCGAAGGCAGCCUGCUAAGCUGCAACUGACAUUGAGGCUCGAAAGUGUGGGUAUCAAACAGGAUUAGAUACCCUGGUAGUCCACACGGUAAACGAUGAAUACUCGCUGUUUGCGAUAUACUGCAAGCGGCCAAGCGAAAGCGUUAAGUAUUCCACCUGGGGAGUACGCCGGCAACGGUGAAACUCAAAGGAAUUGACGGGGGCCCGCACAAGCGGAGGAACAUGUGGUUUAAUUCGAUGAUACGCGAGGAACCUUACCCGGGCUUAAAUUGCAGAUGAAUUACGGUGAAAGCCGUAAGCCGCAAGGCAUCUGUGAAGGUGCUGCAUGGUUGUCGUCAGCUCGUGCCGUGAGGUGUCGGCUUAAGUGCCAUAACGAGCGCAACCCUUGUUGUCAGUUACUAACAGGUUCCGCUGAGGACUCUGACAAGACUGCCAUCGUAAGAUGUGAGGAAGGUGGGGAUGACGUCAAAUCAGCACGGCCCUUACGUCCGGGGCUACACACGUGUUACAAUGGGGGGUACAGAGGGCCGCUACCACGCGAGUGGAUGCCAAUCCCCAAAACCUCUCUCAGUUCGGACUGGAGUCUGCAACCCGACUCCACGAAGCUGGAUUCGCUAGUAAUCGCGCAUCAGCCACGGCGCGGUGAAUACGUUCCCGGGCCUUGUACACACCGCCCGUCAAGCCAUGGGAGCCGGGGGUACCUGAAGUGCGUAACCGCGAGGAGCGCCCUAGGGUAAAACUGGUGACUGGGGCUAAAU
rnacentral:rRNA from 1 species